CUAAUCCCCUUCGAUCCUCCCGAACCCACGAGACUCAUAACCCUCGUCGAAGGACUCAGGGAAUCUCUCGUCCCAGCGCACGCCGCCAGCCUCCUCCACGCCACUGAGAGGAGCCCCGCUGCCGGAUCUUCAACGCCGCCGCCACGGAGGGGAGGAGCCCCGCCGGUGAGAGGAGGAGCGCCGACGCCGCCGCCCGAGUCUGCCCGACGCCCCGACGCCUCAACGCCUCAACGCCGGUGUCACUCCUCCAGCAUACUGGCCUUCUCCCCGGUGCCUCUUCCACGCUCAACCACCAUCAGCCUCCUUAACCCCGACCGAAGAGCUGGCCUUUUCCCCGAGGCCUGCUGCUUGGAUUCUUGUUGGGGUGGACGAGUUGCGUCCAUCUUGGGAUCCAGUUGUCACGCCUAAAUUCGUCGUGGCCAGAAAUUGCUAAGUUCCAGAAUAAGCCCUUUCCCCUCUACGAUAAGCUUGGUGAUCUGUAUGAUGGGCAUAUAGCAGAAGGUAACUUCAAUUUCACAUCAACUGAGGUUACAGAAGUGAGUGAUGGUGAUCUCGAAGUUGAAAGAGAGAAGACUGCCUUCUCUUUUGACCUGAAUCAAUACGGUGAUGAUUUACACAUGUAUGAUGAUCCAAGAGAUGCCGCCCCAAGUGAUGGUCCAAGUAUGCUGCCCCAAGUGAUGGUUCAAGUGAUGCUGCCCCAAGUGAUGGUCCAAGAGGUGCUGCCCCAAGUGAUGGUUCAAGAGAUGCUACACAAAGAGGUGGUGCUGCUACUUCAAGCAACAAGCAUGUGAAGGAAUCAAAGAAGGGUAAGAAGCGUGAUGAUCCUAUGGUGGAAGUGAUGGCACAAUAUGUGGAGAUCAAACGAAAGCAAGCGGAAGAGUCUGCUCUAUUGGUCGGGGCAAAAAAUGCCCAAGAAUUCUCCAUCAGCAAGUGCAUUGCUGUUUUGCACAAGAUGGAAAGCAUCCGCCGCGAUGAACGAGCCACUGCCUACAAAGUGUUCAAAAGUGUUGAGAACCGUGAGAUCUUUCUUAAUUCUGCCGCCGAAGAUGAAGAGAGUGCUGCAGUGUUUCUUCGGAGCGAAAUGGCAGAGUUGACUCAACGUACUUAAGGUUCUCAAGCACCAAAAGAAGCAACAAUAAACAAGCUGGAGGGAUAACUUUCUCUCAGAUUCUCAAAGAUAGAUGAUCAUGACACCAAAAGAUGGAUAUAUCUGUAUGCGAAAUUAUAACUGAUCUUGAGCUAUUCCAGAAGUACUUGUGUUGCGUUAUCUUUGCUGCAAAAUUAUGUUGGGGCUGUGAUGAACUGUUGUUGCUGCGAAAGAUCAUGUUGUCAUGAUAAAUUAUGAUUCCUGGGAUUUGGGAUUCAAAGUCAUGUUGUUAUGAUAAAUUAUGAUGUUGUGAUGAUAUAUUGAUUUCGAGUCAU